UUGGAUGGCCUUUCCGAUCUGAGGAUAGGACACUGGUAACGAGCUUCCUGUUUCCAUUGGAGACUUGCUCUACUUCCGGAGGAAGUAGGAAUAAGGUUAGUGUCAGGAUCACGAAGACCUUUUGUUCGUGAGCAGCUCAGAAGACUCUUUAAGGUUGGAAAGAGGCUUGGAACCUACCUGUUUGAGGUGAUUCCGACCUUAGUUUCCGGGCACGUCUAGAAAGAAUUAAGGUGAUGAUGACGACCACCUGAUUCCCCGAGGCCUUGUCAAAUCUAACGACAGCAGUUUGUAUGAAUUGCUCCCGAGAUUGUGAGCGGUU